AUGAGAACACCAAGCAUCGAGGAAGCUCCAGUGUGUGAGAGGAUCCUGGCCCAGGAAUCAGAUGACCAUAGCCAUGAACAUGAACUCAGGCUGGCUUUAAACCUUGAGCCUCUGGAGCAGCAGGUCCCAGUGAACCAAGUGUUUGGGCAGGACGAGAUGAUCGAUGUCAUCUGGGUCACCAAGGGCAAGGGGUACAAAGGUGUCACCAGCCACUGGCAUACCAAGAAACUGCCCCACAAGACUCACCGAGGCCUGCAUAAGGUUGCCUGCAUUGGAGCAUGGCAUCCUGCCUGUGUGGCCUUCUCUGUGGCCCAGGCUGGUCAGAAAGGCUACCACCAACGCACUGAGAUCAACAAGAAGAUCUACAAGAUUGGCCAGGGCUACCUGAUCAAGGAUGGCAAACUAAUCAAGAACAAUGCCUCCACUGACUAUGACCUGUCAGACAAGAGCAUCAACCCACUGGGUGGCUUUGUUCACUAUGGUGAAGUGACCAAUGACUUCGUUAUGCAGAAAGGCUGUGUGGUGGGAACCAAGAAGCACAUGCUCACCCUGCGUAAGUCCUUGCUGGUGCAGACUAAACGGCAGGCUCUAGAGAAGAUUGACCUCAAGUUCAUCGACACUAUCUCCAAGUUUGGUCAUGCCGCUUCCAGACUAUGGAAGAGAAGAAAGCAUUCAUGGGACCACUUAAGAAAGACCGCAUUGCCAAGGAAGAAGGUGCAUAAAGCCAAGGCAUCCAGUGCACAUCCUGCCGAUGGUGGCAUUUUAAUAAACAUUCCCAAUGUCAAAAAAAAAA